rnacentral:rRNA from 1 species
AGCCAUGCAUGUCUAGAAUAAGCCCUUGAACGGUGAAUCUGCGAAUGGCUCAUUAAAUCAGUUAUUGUUUAUUUGAUGGUACCUUACUACUUGGAUAACCGUAGUAAUUCUAGAGCUAAUACAUGCGUCAAGCCCUGACUUCGGAAAGGGUGCAUUUAUUAGAUUCAAACCAUCGGCUCGUCUGGGCAACUGGGCGCGGCCUUUGAUGGUGAGUCAUAAUAACUUAGCGAAUCGAAUGGCCUUGCGCCGUCGAUGCUUCAUUCAAAUUUCUGCCCUAUCAGCUUUCGAUGGUAGGAUCUUGGCCUACCAUGGCUAUAACGGGUAACGGGGAAUUAGGGUUCGAUUCCGGAGAGGGAGCUUGAGAAACGGCUACCACAUCCAAGGAUGGCAGCAGGCGCGCAAAUUACCCAAUCCCGACACGGGGAGGUAGUGACAAUAAAUAACGAUGCUGGAUUAUUAUUAAUCCGGCAAUUGGAAUGAGAGUGAAUUAAAUCUCCACUCGAGGAACCAUUGGAGGGCAAGUCUGGU